rnacentral:rRNA from 1 species
CAGCAGCCGCGGUAAUACCGGCGGCCCGAGUGGCGGCCACUAUUAUUGGGCUUAAAGCGUCCGUAGCCGGGUUGGUUAGUCUCCCGGGAAAUCUGGCCGCUUAACGGUCAGAAUUCCGGGAGAUACUGCCAGCCUAGGGACCGGGAGAGGCCGAGGGUAUUCCCGGAGUAGGGGUGAAAUCCUAUAAUCCCGGGAGGACCACCUGUGGCGAAGGCGCUCGGCUGGAACGGGUCCGACGGGGAGGGACGAAGGCCAGGGGAGCAAACCGGAUUAGAUACCCGGGUAGUCCUGGCUGUAAAGGAUGCGGGCUAGGUGUCGGGUGAGCUUCGGGCUCGCCCGGUGCCGUAGGGAAGCCGUUAAGCCCGCCGCCUGGGGAGUACGGCCGCAAGGCUGAAACUUAAAGGAAUUGGCGGG